rnacentral:rRNA from 1 species
GAUGAACGCUGGCGGCGUGCCUAAUACAUGCAAGUCGAGCGAACAGACGAGGAGCUUGCUCCUCUGACGUUAGCGGCGGACGGGUGAGUAACACGUGUAUAACCUACCUAUAAGACUGGGAUAACUUCGGGAAACCGGAGCUAAUACCGUAUAAUAUAUUGAACCGCAUGGUUCAAUAGUGAAAGACGGUUUUGCUGUCACUUAUAGAUGGAUCCGCGCCUCAUUAGCUAGUUGGUAAGGUAACGGCUUACCAAGGCAACGAUGCGUAGCCGACCUGAGAGGGGGAUCGGCCACACUGGAAGUGAGACACGGUACAGAGUCCUACGGGAGGCAGAAGUAGGGAAUCUUCCGCAAUGGGCGAAAGCCUGACGGAGCAACGCAGCGUGAGUGAUGAAGGGCUUCGGAUCGUAAAACUCUGUUAUUAGGGAAGAACAAAUGUGUAAGUAACUAUGCACGUGUUGACGGUACCGAAUAAGAAAGCCACGGCUAAUUACGU